CAGAAGGUGCUUAUUGACAAGUGGAC
rnacentral:piRNA from 1 species